rnacentral:rRNA from 1 species
AUUGAACGCUGGCGGCAGGCUUAACACAUGCAAGUAGAGCGAGCGGCGGACGGGGGAGGAAUGUCGGGGAAACUGCCUGAUGGGGGGGGAUAACUACUGGAAACGGUAGCUAAUACCGCAUACCAUCAGAUGUGCCACGAUGGGGGUAGCUAGUAGGAGGGGUAAUGGUUCACCUAGGCGACGCUCCCUAGCUGGUCUGAGAGGAUGACCACCCACACUGGAACUGAGACACGGUCCAGACUCCUACGGGAGGCAGCAGUGGGGAAUAUUGCACAAUGGGCGCAAGCCUGAUGCAGCCAUGCCGCGUGUGUGAAGAAGGCCUUCGGGUUGUAAAGCACUUUCAGCGAGGAGGCGUUACUCGCAGAAGAAGCACCGGCUAACUCCGUGCCAGCAGCCGCGGUAAUUC